rnacentral:rRNA from 1 species
GCAUAUCAAUAAGCGGAGGAAAAGAAACCAACAGGGAUUGCCUUAGUAACGGCGAAGUGAAGCGGCAAGAAGCUCAAAUUUGAAAUCUGGUACCUUCGGUGCCCGAGUUGUAAUUUGAAGAAGGUAUUCUUGAUUCUGGCCUUUAUCUAUGUUCCUUGGAACAGGACGUCACAGAGGGUGAGAAUCCCGUGCGAUGAGGUGUCCAGUUUUAUGUAAGAUUCCUUCGAAGAGUCGAGUUGUUUGGGAAUGCAGCUCUAAGUGGGUGGUAAAUUCCAUCUAAAGCUAAAUAUUGGCGAGAGACCGAUAGCGAACAAGUACAGUGAUGGAAAGAUGAAAAGAACUUUGAAAAGAGAGUGAAAAAGUACGUGAAAUUGCUGAAAGGGAAGGGUUUUAGAUCAGACUUGGUAUUUAACAAUCAUUCUCUCUUUGAGGGUUUGCUCUUGUUUUUUACUGGGCCAGCAUCGGUUUGGGUGGCAGGAUAAUGACAUUGGAACGUGGCACCCCUCGGGGUGUGUUAUAGCCUUUGUUGAUACUGCCUACCUAGACCGAGGACUGCGUUUUUUAACUAGGAUGCUGGCGUAAUGAUCUAAAACCGCCCGUCUUGAAACACGGACCAAGGAGUCUAACGUCUAUGCGAGUGUUUGGGUGUAAAACCCGUACGCGUAAUGAAAGUGAACGUAGAUGAGAGCUCUUUUUUGAGUGCAUCAUCGACCGAUCCUGAUGUCUUCGGAUGGAUUUGAGUAAGAGCAUAGCUGUUGGGACCCGAAAGAUGGUGAACUAUGCCUGAAUAGGGUGAAGCCAGAGGAAACUCUGGUGGAGGCUCGUAGCGGUUCUGACGUGCAAAUCGAUCGUCAAAUUUGGGGUAUAGGGGGCGAAAGACUAAUCGAAACCAUCUAGUAGCUGGUUUCCUGCCGA